UACGUAGGUGGCAAGCGUUGUCCGGAUUUAUUGGGCGUAAAGCGCGCGCAGGUGGUUUCUUAAGUCUGAUGUGAAAGCCCCCGGCUCAACCGGGGAGGGUCAUUGGAAACUGGGAGACUUGAGUGCAGAAGAGGAUAGUGGAAUUCCAAGUGUAGCGGUGAAAUGCGUAGAGAUUUGGAGGAACACCAGUGGCGAAGGCGACUGUCUGGUCUGUAACUGACACUGAGGCGCGAAAGCGUGGGGAGCAAAC
rnacentral:rRNA from 1 species